rnacentral:tRNA from 1 species
GUUCUUAUAGUUGAAUAACAACGGUGGUUUUUCAAGCCAUUAGUCCUAGUUAGAGUCUUGGUAAGAACU